CACCACUCCCUCUCUCUCUCUCUUUCUCUCUCUCUCUCUCAGACAAAAAACAGAAAAGAGGGAGAGAGAUCGAGAGCAUCACCGCAGGAAUUAGAUCAUGGAGACCAACAGUACUGCUACAAAGGAGCCGCUUCUGUCCACCAGGGUUGACGACGAAGACCUAAUCCCAAACCACGGGCACAACCCACGCGCCGUUUCGAAUGCUUCUUUCGCGUCCUUCACGGCGGACGCCGACGAUAUCCUCCCCAUCAACGGAGUCAGAGAUUUCUUCAGAGAGUUCUUGGUGGAGUCCAAGAAGCUGUGGUACCUGGCCGGCCCCGCCAUAUUCACCUCCCUCUGCCAGUACUCCCUCGGCGCCAUCACCCAGGUUUUCGCCGGCCAUGUCGGCACGCUAGACCUCGCCGCCGUCUCCAUCGAGAAUUCCGUCAUUGCCGGAUUCUCCUUCGGCGUCAUGCUGGGGAUGGGAAGCGCGCUGGAGACGCUGUGCGGGCAGGCGUACGGGGCGGGGCAGGUGGACAUGCUGGGAAUUUACAUGCAGAGGUCGUGGGUGAUCCUCAACACCACCGCCGUCUUCCUCUGCUUCAUCUACAUAUUCGCGGCGGCGCUGUUGAAGGCCAUCGGGCAGACUGCCGCCAUCUCCAAGGCCGCGGGGACGUUCGCGGUGUGGAUGAUCCCGCAGCUGUUCGCGUACGCCGUGAAUUUCCCCAUCGCCAAGUUCUUGCAGGCGCAGAGCAAGAUCAUGGCGAUGGCGGUGAUCUCGGCGGUGGCGCUCGUGCUCCACACCGUGUUCAGCUGGCUCCUCAUGCUGAAGCUAGGGUGGGGACUGGUGGGCGCGGCCAUAGUGCUGGACGCGUCCUGGUGGUUCAUAGUACUGGUUCAGCUGGUGUACAUCUUCAGCGGCACCUGCGGCCGGGCUUGGGCCGGCUUCUCCUUGAAAGCGUUUCAAAACCUCUGGGGUUUCGUCAGGCUGUCGCUCGCCUCCGCCGUCAUGCUCUGCCUGGAGGUGUGGUAUUUUAUGGCAUUAAUUCUCUUCGCUGGGUAUCUGAAGAAUGCGGAAGUGUCAGUGGAUGCCCUUUCCAUUUGCAUGAACAUAGUGGGGUGGGCAGUGAUGUUAGCUCUCGGAUUCAAUGCAGCCAUCAGCGUGAGGGUGUCGAACGAGGAUGGGGGGUUGGGAGCAGCUACGAGGAACAGCGAAAGUCUCAGUGGUGGUGGUGGUGAUCAAUUCGUUCACCAUCGGAGUGCUGCUGUCGCUGGUGCUCAUCAUCGCCCGCAAGGAAUACCCUUCCUUGUUUUCCGACAACUCAGACGUGAAGGAGCUUGUUUCUGAGCUCACUCCGCUCCUUGCGUGCAUAUCAUUAAAACGUCCAACCUGAUCUUCGGGGUGGCAAUUGGCGAGGUGGCAGCAUUGUUUUGUAGCGUAGUCACAUUGGAUGCUACUACGGAUUGGGAUUCCUCUGCGGUUUAUACUUGGCUUCAAGUAACUGGGUUUGUCAAGGGAAUAUGGAUCGGAAUGCUGUCGGGAACGGUCUUGCAAACCUGUGUGCUCUUUGGGAUGGUUUAUAAGACCAACUGGAACAAAGAGGUAAGAACAUCGCCCACCCGGAAAAUAAUGAGGGACGUGUUAGGCCCGCGUGUAACAGGUGUGGCAGACACAUGGCAUUCAUUCGUCUAAAUCCAUGAUCAAAACAUGUUCUCGCCUUUCUUUCUGUGUUUGAUCCAUACACCAUUGAACCAAGAGAUUUUUAACACAACGUGGGGUGUGGGUGUGCAGGCUUCCAUAGCUGGAGACAGAAUUAAAAAGUGGGGGGGUGGCACAGAAGCUGAAGAGAACAACGUUGAAAAAUGAACAUGCACCCACGAGACCUAGCAAGGACAAAUUUUGGCAGAAUUCAACAUCACAAAAGCUGGCUAAGAGCAGGGAUCAAUGUACCAGGAAGUAAAGGACAAGUUCACUUCUAAAUAUUUGGGAGGCAAAAGCUGUGCUAAGAGACACAGAAUCAUUUUCCGUUUUAAUUAUUCCAAGGGCCAGAGUGAAUGAAUUCGAAUGAAUUCUCUACUCUGAUUUCCAACAAAAGACCAACCCCAAGAAAGCAAGCUCAUCUAAAAAAUUGGAGUAGAUGUAACCUCACCCAACCCCAUCGCAUUUCUUGAGAAGAAACAUAUUUUCUUUGCUGCCAAUAAGGGGUUCCUCUGAGCCCCAGAAUGGGAAUUUUCACUGUUAUCGUAAA